GACGAACGCUGGCGGCGUGCCUAAUACAUGCAAGUCGAACGCAGUGGGGACGGGUUAGUAAACCGUGGGUAACCUGCCAUCAGAGGGGAUAACACUUGGAAACAGGUGCUAAACCGAUACUGAUGGAUGGACCGGGAGUGGAUUAGCUAGUGGGUGAGGUAACGGCUCACCAAGGCCACGAUCCAUAGCCGGCCUGAGAGGGUGAUCAGCCACACUGGGACGGAGACACGGCCCAGACUCCUACGGGAGGCAGCAGUGGGGAAUCUUGGGCAAUGGACGAAAGUCUGACCGAGCCAUGCCGCGUGAGUGAAGAAGGUUUUCGGGUCGUAAAAUUCUGUUAUUAGGGAAGCGGUACCUAACCAAGAAGCAACGGCUAACUACGUGCCAGCAGCCGCGGUAAUAC
rnacentral:rRNA from 1 species